GGUGGGUCAGUCAGGAUAGACCUGACUUUCAGGAGGACGAGACAUAGUUGAAUACUGAAGAGAGUAUCAGAUGCUGAGAACAUCAUCUGACCUUUGCUUACUGGAGCCAGGUCUCUUACAUUUCUGCCAUUCUCUCAUCCUCUAAGAUCCAAGUUAGUGACGGGAAGUCCUGGUACCUAGCAGCACCAGAUAACACCCGUGGAAGCAAUGCCAUGCACCUACAUAAAGAACUAACAGACGUAAGGGUACCAAGGACUCACGAGCGCUUCAACAGCAGCCUGAGUUGGCUCUUAGUUCAGAAAAACCUAGUAGUUGUCAGGCCUAAAAUUGGUGGGAUAGCAAGAAUUUCCCCUCUUGUCUUUAGCCACUGCCUAUUCCAAUAAGCCCAACGACAACAAAAGAACCAUUAACUCCAAUGAAUGUAUCUUAUUCCAGCUCCCUCCAGGGCAGUUCAGCAGUUAGUUUCACCUCAAUGAA